UACAGAGGGUGCAAGCGUUGUUCGGAAUUAUUGGGCGUAAAGGGUGCGUAGGCGGGGCGGUAAGUCUGUAGUGAAAUCUCUGGGCUCAACUCAGAGUCUGCUAUAGAAACUGCCGUGCUUGAGUGUGGGAGAGGGGAGUGGAAUUCCCGGUGUAGCGGUGAAAUGCGUAGAUAUCAGGAGGAACACCGGCGGCGAAGGCGGCCCUCUGGAUCGUUGCUGACGCUGAUACGCGAAAGCGUGGGGAGCAAACAGG
rnacentral:rRNA from 1 species